CCGAUGUUCGCUGGCGCCGACCGAGUUGCUGUUAUUCAGUCGCAUUCCGCUGCAGCUGUCCUCUUUUUGCUGCAGGAUUUUACCGAAGAAUGGGACAGGAUCUGACGAACUUUGCCUUAUGCUCUGUACUGCGGUGCGGAUGGGGAACAGAGGGAAUGCAGAACUCCCACAAUUCCCAGAGGUGGAGUGAGCUAGUGUCCCUGUGCUGCUGCCGCUGCCACUGCUGCUGAGACCCCCC